rnacentral:rRNA from 1 species
GAUGAACGCUAGCGGCAGGCUUAACACAUGCAAGUCGAGGGGUAACAUUGUUGCUUGCAACAGAUGACGACCGGCGCACGGGUGCGUAACGCGUAUAGAACCUACCUUUAACUAAGGGAUAGCCCAGAGAAAUUUGGAUUAAUACCUUAUAGUAUGUUUUUGUGGCAUCACAGAGAUUUUAAAGAUUUAUUGGUUAGAGAUGGCUAUGCGUUCUAUUAGUUAGUUGGCGAGGUAACGGCUCCCCAAGACUACGAUAGAUAGGGGUCCUGAGAGGGAGAUCCCCACACUGGUACUGAGACACGGACCAGACUCCUACGGGAGGCAGCAGUGAGGAAUAUUGGACAAUGGAGGCAACUCUGAUCCAGCCAUGCCGCGUGUAGGAAGACUGCCCUAUGGGUUGUAAACUACUUUUAUACAAGAAGAAACGCGAUCUCGUGAGAUUGUUUGACGGUAUUGUACGAAUAAGGAUCGGCUAACUCCGUG